rnacentral:rRNA from 1 species
ACGGGGGGGGCAAGCGUUGUUCGGAAUUACUGGGCGUAAAGGGCUCGUAGGCGGCCAACUAAGUCGGACGUGAAAUCCCUCGGCUUAACCGGGGAACCGCGUCCGAUACUGGAUGGCUUGAGUAUGGGAGAGGGAUGCGGAAUUCCAGGUGUAGCGGUGAAACGCGUAGAGAUGUGGAGGAACACCGAUGGCGAAGGCAGCCCCCUGGGUCAAAACUGACGCUCAUGCACGAAAGCGUGGGGAGCAAACAGGA